rnacentral:lncRNA from 1 species
AUGGUACAAAAAGAAUAACGAAUACGACUCGAUGAAACCGCCGCUCAAAUCUCCAAGAGAAAGCUACGCAUAUGCAGUAUGUAUAAGCAUGGCACACAUGCUUCUACUGCAUAAUCUUCGCCACGAGCAGGGAUACCAGCGCGGACGACACCACGGCCACGGCGGACGCCGCCGGAGCGGAGGCCGCCCCGGCGAUCGGAGAGGGCGCGGGCGCGGACGACGGCGCCGUGGUGAACUCCUGCGCCGACGCGGAGGCGACGAGCACGGCCGCGGCGAGGAGCAGCACGGAGGCGAAGCGUGAAGCCAUCUCGGGACGAUCGACUUGCUGGAAGGCUUUGAACUUGCUUGCUAGCUCUCGAAGACUCUGCUGCGGCGGUGGCGGUGGCGGUGGCGGUGUGCGUGUACUCUGCUGCGGAUUGCGAUGCUGCGAUGGGGGGAGGAGGUUUAUAUAGGCCGCCCAAGCGGAGGGCUGCGCCGUGGGAUCGGCGGGUCGCAGUCGUGGGUUUAAUUUCUCUCCGUGUCCGCGCGCGUCUGCGUUCCUUCCGCGGGGGGCACGGCACGGCAC